UGGCUCAGGAUGAACGCUAGCGGCAGGCUUAACACAUGCAAGUCGAGGGCAGCGGGUGUAGCAAUACAUCGCCGGCGACCGGCGCACGGGUGCAUAACACGUAUGGAAUCUGCCCUGUACUGGGGGAUAGCCCUCCGAAAGGAGGAUUAAUACCCCAUAACAACUUGAGUGGCAUCACUUGGGUUUGAAAGCUCCGGCGGUACAGGAUGACCAUGCGCCCGAUUAGCUAGUAGGUGAGGUAACGGCUCACCUAGGCUACGAUCGGUAGGGGGCCUGAGAGGGUUAUCCCCCCACACUGGUACUGAGACACGGACCAGACUCCUACGGGAGGCAGCAGUGAGGAAUAUUGCGCAAUGGAGGCAACUCUGACGCAGCCAUGCCGCGUGCAGGAAGAAGGCGCUACGCGUUGUAAACUGCUUUUAACCGGGAAGAAACCCCAGGACGUGUCCUGGGUUGACGGUACCGGAGGAAUAAGCACCGGCUAACUUCGUG
rnacentral:rRNA from 1 species